rnacentral:rRNA from 2 species
CACCGGCAGCUCUAGUGGUGGCCAGUUUUAUUGGGCCUAAAGCGUUCGUAGCCGGUUUAUUAAGUCUCUGGUGAAAUCCCGUAGCUUAACUAUGGGAAUUGCUGGAGAUACUAGUAGACUUGAGGUCGGGAGAGGUUAGAGGUACUCCCAGGGUAGGGGUGAAAUCCUGUAAUCCUGGGAGGACCACCUGUGGCGAAGGCGUCUAACUGGAACGAACCUGACGGUGAGGGACGAAAGCUAGGGGCGCGAACCGG